rnacentral:rRNA from 1 species
CCCUUAGAUGUUCUGGGCCGCACGCGCGCUACACUGACGAAUGCAACGAGCUUAUAACCUUGGCCGAAAGGUCUGGGUAAUCUCCAAAUUUCGUCGUGAUGGGGAUAGAUUAUUGCAAUUAUUAAUCUUCAACGAGGAAUGCCUAGUAAGCGCAAGUCAUCAGCUUGCGUUGAUUACGUCCCUGCCCUUUGUACACACCGCCCGUCGCUCCUACCGAUUGAAUGGUCCGGUGAAGCGCUCGGACCGCGGCCUCUUGACGGUUUUCCGUCGAUUGGCUGUGGGAAGUUCGUUAAAUCUUAUCAUUUAGAGGAAGGAGAAGUCGUAACA